GUGUCAGCAGCCGCGGUAAUACGUAGGCAGCAAGCGUUGUUCGGAGUUACUGGGCGUAAAGAGUAUGUAGGCGGUUGCGUAAGUUCGGUGUGAAAUCUCCCGGCUUAACUGGGAGGGUGCGCCGAAAACUGCGUGGCUUGAGUGCGGGAGAGGAGAGCGGAAUUCCUGGUGUAGCGGUGAAAUGCGUAGAUAUCAGGAGGAACACCGGCGGUGUAGACGGCUCUCUGGACCGUAACUGACGCUGAGAUACGAAAGCGUGGGUAGCAAACAGGAUUAGAAACCCGCGUAGUCC
rnacentral:rRNA from 1 species